rnacentral:rRNA from 1 species
UGUCUUUUAAAUGAAGACCUGUAUGAAUGGCGAAACGAGGGCUUAACUGUCUCCCUUCUCCAGUCAAUGAAAUUGAUCUGCCCGUGCAGAAGCGGACAUACAAAUACAAGACGAGAAGACCCUUUGGAGCUUAAGAUAAAAAAUCAACUAUGUCAAGAACCUAAAAAUCAGGUCAAACUAAGUAGCAACUGAUUCUUAUCUUCAGUUGGGGCGACUACGGGAGAAAACAAAGCUCCCAUGAGGACUGGGGCUAACAAGGCCCUAGAACCAAGAAAGACAUUUCUAAGUCACAGAACAUCUGACCACCUAAGAUCCGGCCACCCGCCGACCAACGGACCAAGUUACCCUAGGGAUAACGGCGCGGUCCCCUUCCAGAGUCCAUAUCGACAAGGGGGUGUACAACCUCGAUGUGGGAUCAAGACAUCCUAAUGGUGCAUCCG